GAGCUCGGAUUUGGUCGCCCGUGC
rnacentral:miRNA from 1 species